UGCCUGAAUCGUCCCUGAAGACUGGCGUGGCCUUGAGUCAUCGUCUGACAAGAUCUGCUAACGGGGUCAUUGCAGACAGCCACAAACCCCCAACGUCUGAGCCAGCCGGGGCUGCUGCCAAGGGGUUUCGCCUGCCUCCACCUCCCGCCUUCUCCGGCUCCCCAUCCAAGCUGAUGCUUGUAAAGGAAACAUCUUUUCAGGGAUUUGGGGUAACUUGCAAUGUCUUGCAUUCCUGUGAAAAUGGCAACUGGUUCAUCAUUUUUCUGAAGAUCUAAAGAAAUUUCAAGUGGGGCACCUGUGCCAGCCAUAAAUGACAUGAAUUCAGUGGAGCUCAACCAAGAAAAAUGAAAAGAGCCAAAGAGGAGGCAAUUGAAACCAUGACUGGAGAUAUUAAAAACCCAUCAGGGGUUUUGGACCCUUACAUGCAGCUGACCCCUGGACCUCUCCAUCCAAAGCAUCCACACUCUCAUCAGAUGCGGCAUGCUUGGCUGUCGAUACCAUCUUCCCAGGGGAUCUUCCCGAUCAAGGAGUUGAACCCAGGUCUCCCGCAUUGCAGGCAUGUGCUUUACUGACAGAGCUGUAGUCACGGAACAAAUGGAGAGUCACUCAGUCUGGUCCAUUUCCUGAUGAGAAAGUACCUGGAGAUCAAGGAGCCUGUAAGGAGUAGGGGGAACUCGACUCUGCCUCUGUUCCAGCCAGAGAAGGAGACCCUGGAGCAGGUACGCUUCUGCCAUGGAUGACAUGGUGGGAAGGGGGAAGAUGGUGAUGCAGAAAGAGGGGACCCCUGGAUACUUGAACAGCUGGACUGAGGUGCCUCGAGGCUGGUGUCCUCCCAGCCACCCCUCUUUAGACUCUAAACGGGAGGAAAAAGGACUCUCCAUUUGCUCUUCCCUGGCGCCCUGAGCUUCACACACAGGAGCAUCAUGAACAUGUUCUCCAGCAUCUGGAAGGGCAUUUUUGGCCAAGAUCUGUGAGCACUGAUUGGCUGGACCAGGUGGGAAGGGUAGCAACUGGAACGGAUACAGGAAAAGGAGAGGUUGUUCUGUUUCUCCUCUGCUACCUACUUCCUGCCUCUAACAGACCAGCUUCAUGUUACGAGCAUUGGUAAAAACCAUCAGGAGGAGGUACAUCCCUGGUGGUCAGUGAUUAAGAAUCUGCCUGCCAGUGCAGAGCAUGUGGGCUCGAUCCCUGGUCUGGGAAGAUUCCAUAUGCCCCGGGGCAACUCAGUCCAGGCACCGCAACUGCUGAGCCUACCUGCUGUAAGUACUGAAGCCCCUGUGUCCAGAGUCUGUGCUCCUCAACAAGAGAUGGCACGGCGAUGAGAAGCCUGUGCACGGCAACUAGAGAGCAGACCCUGCCCACAGCAAUGGAGAGGCAACACAGCCAUAAAUAAAUCAACAAAAACUAUUUUUAGAAAGCCAUCAGGAGGAAAGCGAAGGUCAUGAGAGACACUGAGUAUGUCCACCUGUGGAAAUGGAAUGAAUGAAUACAGCUACAUCAUGAAUACUUGGCUGACCAGCCUAGAUGGGAGCGUGUCAAGGGGCUCUAUCUUUGAGCACAUCUUGUUCAACACUUUUACCAGUGACUAUGCUGGAAUUACAGCUGUAGGGAGAGGAUGAACAUUUAUUGAGAAUCUUUUAAGUAUCAACAAGCUCUGUAAGUAUUUUACAUAGAUUAUUUACUCCCCAUAACAUUUCGGUAAGAAAGGUCGAAUUACUCCUUUGUAGACCAGGAGAGGGUGAGUCCUAUAGCCAUUGAUGUACUAAGAUCUGGGUCCCAGAUGGGUCUGACUCCAAAGGCUGGGGCACUGAGUCACCCAUGGGGCUGAGCUGCCUUGUGACUAGGGGCUUGUGAGAAGGUGGACGGGGUGGACAAUACAGGGAAGGUGAGAGGCAGGACCCAAAAAGGCCUCAAUAGGGCUGAAAUGAACACUGGGCUACAGUGAGUGCCUACCAAGCUUAACAGCCUCAGAGACCUCUGUUCACACUGGGGUUCAGAAUACCCACCGGACACAUACAGGAUGUGGGAUACCUGGGUCAACAGCACAAGUGAAAGAUGUUGGGUUUUUAGUUGACAGGAAGUCUUUAUGAGUCAACAGUGGGAGGUGGCAGCCAGCAAAGCUAAUGUCACUGUAGCUGCGGCAAGUGGAGGGCAAUGAACGGGGAGGGAGCAGAGACUCUUCAAUCAGGGUGCGUGCAGGAAAUGCAGUCCUGGAAACCUCAGUGGGAAAGGGGCACCGACUAUCUGCUGGGAUCUCAGAUGUGGUGGCUGGGGUGGGAGGGGGCUGUUGGCUAUUGCUGCAUCCCUCUCAUCCUUUGUCCAAAGUGUGCUGAUAAUAUAUUUCUGAGCAAGUAUAACCCCUUCUGCAUUUUUCUGCAUUUGCCUUACCUGCCUUGGGAAUAAGCUACUUCCUAUGUUUUUAUUCUUAAAUUAAUGUACCCUGAGUAAAUGCAGGGAUUCCUUGUGAUCGAGUCUCUACACUGUCACAUUCAAAGAAGCACAGCCCAGCAAGGAAAUGAAAGGAAGAGAUUUCAGCCUUUCACACAGAUCUCUCAAAGACAUGAAAAAAGGAUGAGGCCUCCUUUUGCUUCUCUAAUUACCUUGGGCUUCAAAUCUCUAGAACCUUUCACUUUACCAAAGCAUCCCAAAUCCUCCUGACAUCAAUCCACCCAACAGGCCACCUUUCCUUUGUCCUUCCACAUCUCCCUUAUGUAUACUAGAUGGACUUAACCUCUGUGUCUCCUUUUGCUAGUCCCUCCGUCUCCCUUCCUCUUCAUUCUUUGUUAGUUUUCUUUCCAUUCGGUUGCUGACCCCAAUUUCUCACCACAAACAAGGCCUCCAGAACUGAUUCAAAAAUUUUUCUAAGUCUCAGAGGUGGCUUCAUCUGGAAACAUUACAAGAACCAAAGGUGCAAUUGCUAGCGUACAUUCAGACUUAAGGUGAGAUUUCAGAUGAAUCAGAUUGAAUCUCUGGGAUCCUCCUUCUGUACUUUCCAGUGAUAUUGUCACUGGGUCUCUGUAGUAGGUAGUGCCCAACCUGACCAUUUUUGACAUGUGCUUCAGAUCAGUGAAAGGGCUUACAUAAUUUAGACUUGUCUGAGUUGGUUGGAGUAGGUUCUCAAAGUAAAAUGCCUCCACAGUACCCAAAGACAGCAUCAGAAUGACUAAACCUUAUAAGAUUCUAAAAACAAGCAAACAAUAAAACGAAUCAAGCUACUCCCCCCAUCCCCAGCACAGUGCUGUCUGUCCAUCCCUCUUCUCCCAGGAUCUGAGAUGGCCAAGCUCGAACUCUUCUUAGGGGGCUGGAUGAGAAGCAGAGCAGGCAAGAACUACAUUUUUAAUGGGGGAAGUAGCAAUGGGGAGUGGUGGUGGAGAGGCUGGGUACACUCUAUGUCUGAAGCUUGUCCUCAUUGCGUUAGCAUAUGGUCACCGUGGGUGGAAGAGCCUGGCCACCCAUGCACAUGAACCCACCGCAGAUUGCCAUGUGAUAGCUACUUGCAUGAACAGCAGUCAGCAGAGGCCCUUCUUCACCCAUAAUGUCCCCCCUCCCAUCACCUUGUGUAUUUCCUUCCCAUUACACCUCAUUGGGCUCCUUUUUUUUUUUUUUUUUUUUUUAGAGCUGACUCUCGUUUCUUUGAUGGCAUAGCCUUCAAUGUGCUGGCAGAGACAGCAUUCACCCACACUACAGGGUUCUGCUGCCCUCCCCACAGCCCUCUCUGCAGCCAGGUGGGGGCCCUGUGGCUCCUGUUGACUGAGAGCCUGAGACCCAGGCAGUUAAGAGCUGGUAUGCCUCCUCCUCGUUCCCCCUUGGCUGUGCUGACUUUGGAAGCCCUGUGUUCCAGAUGGCAUGCAAAAUGGGGACAAUUCUCCCAACUCACGUUGCACUUUACAGAAGCAAGAAAUAAACUUGCAUUGUAUUAAGCCCCUGAGAGCUCAAUGCUGUUACUGCAGCGUGGUCCAGCCUAGCCCUGUGAAUACCCAGAACAUCAGAAUGAACGGAGUGAUUGCCAUUCUUGAGGUCUGUCACGUAGCUGAAACAAGAAGCUGUCUCUGGAGCCCCCCAGGGCAGCUGAUCGACACUUUUUCUUACUGUCAUCACCCAGCACAGAUGGCGCUUCCUGUUUGGUAACACCUCACGUGGGCUCCUCGUCCCCCACCGACUCUGCCAGUCACCAUCCCACACAGUCAAGCAUGCACAGGAUUACAGGUUUGUCAAGAACACAUCCUCAUGUCUGCCAAGGAGUGCCUGUUGGAGGAAGAAUUCGAAUAGAGGAUGUUAGGAGGUGAAAUGGACUGCCUUGGGGGCGGUUAACUUGCCUCUGAUGUGAGCAAGUGGAAGUUCUGUGUCCAUUGGGUUUGGUGAGGGGGGAGCAUGAAGAGGGGGUGUCAGCCCUGAAUGGGGAGGGGUUGGGUUUGGAGGUACAGGAUGGACCAGAUGACUUUCAAAUCCCAUCCAACUCUGAGAGUCCCCAACAUAGAGUCUAAUUCUUUUUUUAUUUUUUCUAAAGGGGAUGCAUAGAUACGUUUUGGACACUAAGAAAGUAAAAAACUUAUGAAAUCAGAUAGCGAUAGCCUGGCUUAACAAGCAAGUAAGUAUCAGAACUCUGACAUUAUCCAUUCUUAAAGAUCAAGCCUCAUGAGAUCAGCAUUCUCAACUCUAAGGUUGACAAACAGGGAGGGGUGAGUGGUCCCGAAGGCCGGUGAAGCAUAUCUGUAAUCUACACGUCAGCUGCGAGGAAGGCCAAGCCGUGGGUGGAGUCGGAGCCUUGAGACAGACCAAAGCCAUCGUGAUAACAGCCCCAUAAUGGGGACACUGAUGUCUUAUCAUGCUCAAAGCAUUUUCCCUGACAUCCUGAGUGCUCACAGAUGACCAUCUCCGAGCUGAUUAUCCUGUACCGUAUAUGAUCAUCUAUCUCCGAAUAUAUUAGUAUAGCCUCAGGGGAAGACGUGCCGCCAUUUUCACUGUACAGAUGCUCAGGGAGAUUUUCAGAGAUUUAUACCCCCAAGAUCACGUAGCAAAUGAGGAUGAGAUGUCAGACUUGAACUCAGAUCCUUUGACUCCAAGUGAUGGAUUUUAAAGCAAAAGAGCACAUCUAUUCUGGGCACUAGAAGCUAGGGCUGAAAUCAGUUCACACGCUCCUUGGUCCCUGAGGAACUUUCACUUUCAGCCUGCACGCUUGUGUAGGGGGAGGUGUUACAGGGAGGGGAAAGCUCUGAACUGCUUCUAGGCAAGAGGGGUUUUCUGGGGAAAAGCCAGGGACCGGAGGAUAGAAUGAUGGAGUGGAGGCCUCAACUCUUUGACCCACUUCAUGUCUGUGAAACCUCAGCUUCCUCAUCUGAAAAUGGGAGGAAAGACAUUGAUAUCCACCUUAAAGGAUGUCUGUGAGGACCCAGUAGAGGAUGGGAUGAAAAUGUUUGGAAAACCCUAUGAAAGCGGAAGCUCUUAUUUCAAGUAACAAUGCUUCAGCUGCAAGUAACAGAACAGACAGCUCCAGGGGUUUUACCAGCCAAAGCUUUCUUUUUCUUAUGAAAUAAGAAGUCCCUGGUAAGUCGUAUAGGGCAGGGCAGAAGGAUAAUAAAGCCACGGAGGGCGUGGCUUCUGUUUUUCUGCUCUAACGUCAUCCUCAUGCAGUUAGUUACCUUGUAAGCACAAGGUGGCUGCUGCACCUCCAGGCCUCAUGUUCAAGUUCCAAGCAGGAGAAAGAAGGGAGAAGGAGAAAGAGUUGGUGCCUAUAGUGGGAGUGCAAACAUUUUCUUAGAAAUGCCAUAACUCACUGGCCAGAGCUGUAAUCAAAAGGCCGGCUUCUAUACACAGGAGCCUGGGGACGUGAGGAUUUGGGGCCAGGCACACCAUCACUAUGAUCAAAUCCAGGGUUUGAAAGGAGAAGGAGAAGCCAGAAUCCAUGAUGGAUGUAAGCUGUCAGUACUGCCUGUUAUAGCUCUGCUGCUGCCAUGGGCGCUUAAUUCACGGGGAUCCUUUACAUUCAGUCGCUGGCUUGGGGUGAAGGCAAAUCAGUAAAUCCUUUGAGGAAAUAAUGAAAUGCAGUAUCCUAAUGUCAGAAUGGGAAACAGAGUCAGGUUGGGUGAAUGCUGAGCAAGCAGAAGCGUGAAUGCCGCUGCAGGUCUGGGGGGCCAAGGGAUAGAGGUUCAGGGCACCCCCCCCUCCACCCCGUCCUUUUUCUCAUUUGCUCAGUUUCAUGAGUCCUGUUGACUGGGGCUGGGAGAACUGAAUCCGGGGAGCUCAUUUCUAGCCACUGUGUUUGUAUAUGUCUCCACCCGAAGAUGUCUAACCACAGACUUCCUCUUGACUCCUGGCAACAGAGAGAAAACAAAACCACAGCAGCUUUCAUUGCUGAAAACACAAAACUGACUCGCUUGCCUAAUAAGCCCUGAUGGAAGGGUUUUAUUUCUGAGAGGAAAUGCUGAAGUCUCCAGUCCAAGGAGCCUCUGGUGGGCAGUCAGAUCGCCACAGACUGAAUGUGAUGUCCAGGCGGAAGGCAGCCACUAGCCCAGGGGUCAGGAGCCCAGGGGCAGGGGCCACGUCGCUGACCAGUGGGGCCUGGCCUGAUGGACAUACCUGCAGAACUGGGCCCUUCACCCAGCCCUGCAAUCCUGUUAGUCUCUUCAACCAAUUUUGAUUUUAUGGGAUCUGUGUAUUUUCUUUUCUCUUAUUUUCCAUGUUAUUAAUUUCAGCUAUUGAUUAACUCCCAUUUCGAACUUGCUUCUUCUGUUUGCUUUUCUCAUUUCUUAUGACGUGUCUUCAGGUUUGUACAUAUUCCCCCAGAGCUGAGCUUUUUUUCCAGAUCUCAUAGGUUUUUGGAAAUAAAAUGUUCCACUUUU